CGAACCGAUGAAGUUUGCAAAAAGUCUGCCGAGUGAGAAGCUGCUUUCGUGGUCGGUGUGAAUUUUGAAUUCGGAUUAUUUCCCGUCAAUUAUUGCCGGUUCGGCUGCAAUUUAGUGUAAAACAACUGCUUUGUGCUCAGUAUUUCGUAAUUUGUUAAAAGGAAACAAUGGCCGAUGAAAAUCUCUUGAACGACUCCAACCUGGGAGCGCUGGGAUCGAAUGAUGAUGACUCCGAGCUGAUUCUUGAGGAGGACUAUCUGAAAGGUGCUGAUAUGCAAAUUGAUCCGGAACUGGAGGCAAUCAAGGCUCGUGUGAAAGAAAUGGAGGAAGAAGCGGAGAAGUUGAAGCAACUUCAAACGGAAGUUACCAAACAAAUGACGCUUGGGUCGCCCACCGGCGUCACCCCGAUUCUGACGGCAGAAGAAAAAGCCGAAAUUGAUAAUCGUUCCAUUUACGUCGGUAAUGUCGAUUACGGAGCGACAGCGGAAGAGCUAGAAGCCCAUUUCCAUGGCUGUGGCACCAUCAAUAGGGUAACCAUUCUGUGCAAUAAGGCGGACGGACAUCCGAAGGGUUUCGCCUACAUAGAGUUUGGCUCGAAGGAAUUUGUCGAAACGGCGCUGGCCAUGAAUGAAACUCUCUUCCGAGGGCGGCAAAUCAAAGUCAAUCCGAAACGAACGAACCGGCCGGGAAUGUGCACUACCAAUCGGUUCCCUCGGGGCUCCUCCGUCCGUGGGCGGGGAGCGCGCAUUUCGAGGGCAUGCUGCUACGGAGGACACCGAGGAUCACGAAGACCUGCUCGUGGAUAUCGAGGAAGAGCCACCUAUUACGCACCGUAUUAGGGGAAACGCUAAGUCCCAAUGCGGCCCCCGAUAUUCGCUGUAACACACACGCAAAUCCGACUCACAACACGUUUAGUUUUUAGGCAUCCCCUCGUAGGAUAAGAGAAACGAGACAGGACACUGGAAAGCACCAGUGGCAUCUAGGAUUAUUAUUAUUAUAUUUGGUUACGAAAAUCUUUUCAAAAAACAUUAUUUGUCUUCGAAUUUUCUCUAACAAUAAAAAACCUUCAAAUAAGGACACAUUGCACUGCUAUAAAGUUUCGUUCCUUUGCCAGAACGACUGGAUUUUUUCCACCAUAAGCCAUUGUCACAGUGUGACCAAUCUCGGAAAUAAUGUUUUUUGAAUUCGUUCAAAACAAUAAAAAGAAAAGGAAAUGAGAUGCCACAUAAAAAAAUCCAUUGGAGUAACUCAAAAAAGCCAACACAAAAAGAUGCGGAAUGAUGAAAAAAUAUAAAAAAGAUGGCAGAACACCAAAAGAUGGCAAAAAUAAAAGACGCAAAAAAGAUGGCAAAAGAUGAGUUGAAAUCCGCCACCAACAAACAAAAAAAUACCCAAGGCAAUGAGAAAAUAAGACAAAAGUUUCGAAAAAAAAAUGUUUGAAAAGAUACAACCGGAGAAAAGAGGACCUGGAGCCCACACAAUGAAAUUGAUGAAAUCAAGGAGCAACACAGCAAAAGAAAAAAAAAAUCGAGAUGACAACAGAAUAUGAAAA